GAUGAACGCUGGCGGCGUGCUUAACACAUGCAAGUCGAGCGGAGUUAUUUCAAGGAAGUUUUCGGAUGGAAUUGAAAUGACUUAGCGGCGGACGGGUGAGUAACGCGUGGGUAACCUGCCUCAUACAGGGGGAUAACAGUUGGAAACGACUGCUAAUACCGCAUAAGCGCACAGUGCUGCAUAGCACAGUGUGAAAAACUCCGGUGGUAUGAGAUGGACCCGCGUCUGAUUAGGUAGUUGGUGGGGUAACGGCCCACCAAGCCGACGAUCAGUAGCCGACCUGAGAGGGUGACCGGCCACAUUGGGACUGAGACACGGCCCAAACUCCUACGGGAGGCAGCAGUGGGGAAUAUUGGACAAUGGGGGAAACCCUGAUCCAGCGACGCCGCGUGAGUGAAGAAGUAUUUCGGUAUGUAAAGCUCUAUCAGCAGGGAAGAAAAUGACGGUACCUGACUAAGAAGCCCCGGCUAACUACGUGCCAGCAGCCGCAGUAA
rnacentral:rRNA from 1 species